ensembl:lncRNA
AUAGCACCCCUGCCUCACCCUAACAAGACAGUAUUGCAUUGGUAGUUGCUUGCAUCGAACAGGGGAAUGAUGUGCCCAUCUCCCAGACAGCUCUCUUGUCAGAGCACACUCAGUGUCGCUGCAAAUCCUGUGUCCUGAAAGUCUCUUUCCAUACCUUCAGGUACUGCCAGGAGAGACCCAGCCUCGGAGAGGCUCCACCGCAUGUCGGCAGAGCCGGGAUGCUGAGCACCUCUGCCCGCGCUGGCUCUCACUGGCGCAGAGCAAAUGACUCUGCUCACGUUCAGCAGCUCAUCAGACUGCAGCGACUCAGUCCCGUGGCCAAGUGUGACAGCAUGUGUGUGCCACGUGGGGACAUGCAGCAGGAAAACGUAACGCCAGGGAAAAUAAGGAAAAGCAGCUUCCCCCAGUCAUCUGGAGACGCCCUGCAGAUGCCCCAUCCCUGCUCUCUGCCCUGCUGCACUCCAGCCCCAGGGCCUGAGAUAGCCUGGCGUCUCCAGGAGAGGAGAAAGUUAAUCUCCCCUGCGCACACUGGAGGCACGGGACCUCUCACUGCUGGACCGCCGUGGUGGUACCCAGAGGCACCUUCCUGCACGCUGAGCCUCGCUGCCGUGAUGCGUUUGGGGAGAGGCUGCAAAUCUGCACUGCGCAAGUGUCCUGCAGCUCUUGGAGUGGUGUCUUUUCCCCUUUGCUGA